GGAAUCAACGCUGGCGGCGUGCCUAACACAUGCAAGUCGAACGAGAAAGUGGAGCAAUCCAUGAGUAAAGUGGCGCACGGGUGAGUAACACGUGACUAACCUACCCUUGAGUGGGGGAUAACCUAGGGAAACCUGGGCUAAUACCGCAUAAUACCUUCGGGUCAAAGGAGCAAUUCGCUUAAGGAGGGGGUCGCGGCCGAUUAGUUAGUUGGCGGGGUAAUGGCCCACCAAGACUGUGAUCGGUAUCC
rnacentral:rRNA from 1 species